UACGGAGGGUGCAAGCGUUGUUCGGAAUCACUGGGCGUAAAGCGCGUGUAGGCGGCUAUCUAAGUCUGAUGUGAAAGCCCUGGGCUCAACUCAGGAAGUGCAUUGGAUACUGGAUAGCUGGAGUACCGGAGAGGAGGGUGGAAUUCCUGGUGUAGCGGUGAAAUGCGCAGAUAUCAGGAGGAACACCGGUGGCGAAGGCGGGUCUCUGGGCCGAUACUGACGCUGAGGAGCGAAAGCGUGGGGAGCGAACAGG
rnacentral:rRNA from 1 species